rnacentral:rRNA from 1 species
CAGCAGCCGCGGUAAUACGUAAGGGGCAAGCAUUACUUAGUUUUAUUUGGCGUAAAGCGUUUGUAGGUUAUUUUUCUAGUUGUUUUAAAAAUAACAAAGCUUAACUUUGUUUCAUAAAAUAAUACAGUUUUUUUUGAGUUUCACUAAGGAAAACAGUAUUCCCUGCGUACAGGUAAAAUUGGUUCAUUCUGGGAGGAAUGCCUAAAACGAAAGUAAUUUUCCGGGUGCAAACUGACUCUGAGAAACGAAAGUGUGGUUAGCAAAUAGGAUUAGAUACCCUAGUAGUCCACACUGUAAACAAUGCCUAUUUAAUUCUGCUUUUACUUUUUGGAGUAACGCCGCGUUUAAGUUAACACAAAAAAGGCCGCCUGAAUAGUAUUUUCGCAAGAUUGAAACUCAAAGGAAUUGACGG